AUGGAUCUUGUUUGAGUAAUCGGAUACCUUCUGACAUUCAUUCGUGCAAUAAACAUGUAAGAUUUGGAAAACAAGUAAGUAUUGGAAUGUCUUGACAUCUUGUAGGGUGGAAACAAGUUCAUUGGUAACGUAGGACAUCAUACAAAAUCAUUAUGGAUCACAUGUUACUGAAUAACUUUGGAAACUUUCUUAAUAGAAUAAUUGUUCACUUUCAUGCCAAAGAUAUGGUAUAGAGUAUGCUUUACAUACCUGACUGUCAACCUUCAAUACUAGUCCCAAAUGGACUUCUCGUCUUUUCGGAUUACUU
rnacentral:lncRNA from 1 species